rnacentral:rRNA from 1 species
GAUGAACGCUGGCGGCGUGCCUAAUACAUGCAAGUAGAACGCUGAAGGAGGAGCUUGCUCUUCUGGAUGAGUUGCGAACGGGUGAGUAACGCGUAGGUAACCUGCCUGGUAGCGGGGGAUAACUAUUGGAAACGAUAGCUAAUACCGCAUGACAACAGUUAUUGCAUGAUAACUGUUUAAAAGGGGCAACUGCUCCACUACCAGAUGGACCUGCGUUGUAUUAGCUAGUUGGUGAGGUAACGGCUCACCAAGGCGACGAUACAUAGCCGACCUGAGAGGGUGAUCGGCCACACUGGGACUGAGACACGGCCCAGACUCCUUCGGGAGGCAGCAGUAGGGAAUCUUCGGCAAUGGACGGAAGUCUGACCGAGCAACGCCGCGGGAGUGAAGAAGGGUUUCGGAUCUUAAAGCUCUGUUGUAAGAGAAGAACGAGUGUGAGAGUGGAAAGUUCACACUGUGACGGUAUCUUACCAGAAAGGGACGGCUAACUACGUG